rnacentral:rRNA from 1 species
GACAGAGGGUGCAAACGUUGUUCGGAAUUACUGGGCGUAAAGCGCGUGUAGGCGGCCAUGCAAGUCGGAUGUGAAAGCCCUCGGCUCAACCGGGGAAGUGCACUCGAAACUGCAAGGCUAGAGUCUCGGAGAGGAUCGUGGAAUUCUCGGUGUAGAGGUGAAAUGCGUAGAUAUCUGGAGGAACACCGGUGGCGAAGGCGGCGUUCUGGACUGCUACUGACACUGAGGAACGAAAGCCAGGGGAGCAAACGGG